rnacentral:rRNA from 1 species
UAAGGAGGGUGCGAGCGUUAUCCGGAAUUACUGGGUUUAAAGGGUGCGUAGGCGGCUUUGUAAGUCAGGAGUGAAAGUUUGCGGCUCAACCGUAAAAUUGCUUUUGAUACUGCAGAGCUAGAAUCAGGAUGAGGUUAGCGGAAUGUGGCAUGUAGCGGUGAAAUGCAUAGAUAUGCCAUAGAACACCAAUUGCGAAGGCAGCUGGCUAGACCUGCAUUGACGCUGAGGCACGAAAGCGUGGGGAGCGAACAGG